AGUGAACGCUGGCGGUAGGCCUAACACAUGCAAGUCGAACGGCAGCACAGUAAGAGCUUGCUCUUACGGGUGGCGAGUGGCGGACGGGUGAGGAAUACAUCGGAAUCUACUUUUUCGUGGGGGAUAACGUGGGGAAACUUACGCUAAUACCGCAUACGACCUACGGGUGAAAGCAGGGGAUCUUCGGACCUUGCGCGAUUGAAUGAGCCGAUGUCGGAUUAGCUAGUUGGCGGGGUAAAGGCCCACCAAGGCGACGAUCCGUAGCUGGUCUGAGAGGAUGAUCAGCCACACUGGAACUGAGACACGGUCCAGACUCCUACGGGAGGCAGCAGUGGGGAAUAUUGGACAAUGGGCGCAAGCCUGAUCCAGCCAUACCGCGUGGGUGAAGAAGGCCUUCGGGUUGUAAAGCCCUUUUGUUGGGAAAGAAAAGCAGCAGGUUAAUACCCCGCUGUUCUGACGGUACCCAAAGAAUAAGCACCGGCUAACUUCGU
rnacentral:rRNA from 1 species